AGGGAAUCUUCCACAAUGGACGCAAGUCUGAUGGAGCAACGCCGCGUGAGUGAAGAAGGGUUUCGGCUCGUAAAGCUCUGUUGGUAGUGAAGAAAGAUAGAGGUAGUGACUGGCCUUUAUUUGACGGUAAUUACUUAGAAAGUCACGGCUAACUACGUGCCAGCAGCCGCGGUAAUACGUAGGUGGCAAGCGUUGUCCGGAAUUAUUUGGCGUAAAGCGCGCGCAGGCGGAUUGGUCAGUCUGUCUUAAAAGUUCGGGGCUUAACCCCGUGAUGGGAUGGAAACUGCCAAUCUAGAGUAUCGGAGAGGAAAGUGGAAUUCCUAGUGUAGCGGUGAAAUGCGUAGAUAUUAGGAAGAACACCAGUGGCGAAGGCGACUUUCUGGACGAAAACUGACGCUGAGGCGCGAAAGCCAGGGGAGCGAACGGGAUUAGAUACCCCGGUAGUCCUGGCCGUAAACGAUGGGUACUAGGUGUAGGAGGUAUCGACCCCUUCUGUGCCGGAGUUAACGCAAUAAGUACCCCGCCUGGGGAGUACGACCGCAAGGUUG
rnacentral:rRNA from 1 species